GAAAAGGGUGCUCGUCCUGGCACAUUUCCUAUCCUGGAAUAUUAGUGCAGACGCAUUGCACUGUUUGGCCCAUCCGUACGCCGCUUCUCCCCUCUCCUCACGGUUGGGGGCUGGAGUGGUGGGGGGCGUGCGUGAAAUUGCCGCCCUUUGGAUCACUUUUCUGUGCGGGGCUUUUCUCAACAAAACAGUCCAGUGGGGUAUGGCUUUGCAUAUCCAGUGCAUAAUUUUUGUUCUUGGGGCUCGCGGCUGUACCUAGUUGGUACGCCUUGGAUUG
rnacentral:snRNA from 13 species